rnacentral:lncRNA from 1 species
UUUUUUUUGUCCUUAGGUUAUUUGAGUAGAACAACUUAUACAUAUUCAUUGUUUCAUUAGAAAGCAUAUUGUUGCUCAGAGACAUAACAGAUAUAUUUGCAGUGAAAUGAUUCUAUGUAGUUUCUCUUACAAAUUUUGCCAGCACCGCAUGGAAGAACACCAAAGGAUUUACUAUUUUUAUAAAUCCAUUCACCUAACUUUCAAAGACAUUUUUCUAAACAUCAAUUAAAAUUGUUUUUAUUACUUUUAUUUCUUCUUGAAAUGCUUAUAAAGUCAUCAAAGGGACAGUCGUCAAAAUGUAAGGCAAAUAUGAAGUACAGCUAUAAAAGCUCAAUAAAUCAAAUGCUAAGAAAACAUUUUUCUCAAUCAAAAUAUUUGAAGAAAUAAAAGGAAAGGCUUAGGAACUAUUUUGUGAAAUCUAAUGGAAAUGAAUAAAUAUAUUUGAGUAUAAAUAUUUUAACAGAUUCAUUUAUUUCAUUUACAAAGAGAGACACUAGUAAAAUCAAACGUAUAAGAUGAAGAAAAGAGAAAAUAGGAAAUGUUUUCAUUGAUUUUUUUUGUCUUAUGAUGGUUAAAUUCUAUAUUCUUAACAGAGAACAGGAUCAUCAUUAUGUCUGAACAUGUCUAAAAUAAUUCUUUAGGUCUUUGAGAGGAUUAUAAAGCCAAUUUUGAAACCUUGAACCAUUAAGACUAAUGUGAAAUUAUUCACAAAGUAUUAAGAUUGCCAAAGGAGCUUUCAAAACAGAUUUGGUCCAAACCUGCUUUUCUUUUAGCAUCCUGGCAACCAAGUGCCAUGCAAGAUACACUGAACUCAAAUCUACAGAGACUAUCAAUUGUUGAACAGCAACUUCAGAUCAGUUGAAUAUGAUAGAGAGAGAGGAAUAUUUCCCAGGAGAAAAAAUGUGUAAAUUAAAGUUCCUUCUAGUUCAAAAAUUUUAUAAACCAAUAAACUGGAAUUUGGAUGCGGUAGUAAUACAGAUUGAAGAUAAACCCAAACCUUCUCAACAAGAUAUGUCAUCCACACUGCUGCCAGAGCAUUCUCUCUGAAAUGAUUAUCUGAUCAUCAUCCUCUCUUCUUCUCCACAAGCUGAAACACCUUCAGUGACUGAUUUCAAACUAGGAAUAUUUUUUAGGGUGGCAAAAAUAUGAAUCUUGGGUAUUAGCUUUCUAUCUGGCCUUAUGGUAAAGAAAUAUCAAAACACUGGUAAGUAUCUAAAUACACCUAUGCCUUAUCCAUGCCUCUUAUUUUCGGGAAUGCCUCAUUUCAGAUUGUUGGCUGUAAAACUCUUAAUCGCCAUAAAACUCUUAAAUUUCUCUUUGAAGAUUUUAUGACUCCUUGACUUUUGAAACAUUCUUCACUCUAUAACAUUCAUUAUAUGCAAUUCUUUGUUGUAUAUUAUACUGUAAUAUUAUUAU